rnacentral:rRNA from 1 species
AUUGAACGCUGGCGGCAUGCCUUACACAUGCAAGUCGAACGGCAGCACGGGUGCUUGCACCCGGUGGCGAGUGGCGAACGGGGGAGUAAUACAUCGGAACAUGUCCUGUAGUGGGGGAGAGCCCGGCGAAAGCCGGAUAAAUACCGCAUACGAACUACGGAUGAAAGAGGGGGACCUACGGGACUCGCGCUAUGGGGUUGGUCGACGGCUGAUUAGCUAGUUGGUGGGGUAAAGGCCUACCAAGGCAACGAUCAGUCGCUGGUCGGAGAGGACGACCGGCCACACUGGAACGGAGACACGGUCCAGACUCCGACGGGAGGCAGCAGUAGGGAAUCUUGCACAAUGGGCGAAAGCCUGACGGAGCAACGCCGCGUGAGUGAUGAAGGUCUUCGGAUCGUAAAGCUCUGUUAUUAGGGAAGAACAUAUGUGGACGAAAAUGUGCACAGCAUGACGGUACCUAAUCAGAAAGCCACGGCUAACUACGUG